rnacentral:lncRNA from 1 species
GGGUUCAAAAGAAGUCGUUGAGAACAAGAAGACUUGCCUGCACCAACAUUUUAAGAGUAGGUCACUGAUUUAGUGCAGUGAUGGUGAUGGAUUGGGAAGGCAGUAAUUGCUAGCUAGGCAGUGGAUCUACCAAAAGAUUCUUCAAUGGAGGGAAAAACUGAGCAUUCAUUAAUAUUGGAAUAAUAAACUUAUUAGACUAGUCUUCAUAUGGAAGUUUGCUGAAACUAAUUAGGGAGUAGGAAGAUGAUUGGCUGCCAGAGUAGACUUAUCGUAACCUCAAUGUUUCAUCACAUUUGCAAUGAAUUUUCUAGGUUGGAUAUCGCUGGACUGGCAAAUUUUGAGAUGCAUGAGCUACCCACGUACUGAUGGAGCUGGAAUAACUUUACCGGUUGACCAUUGAAAUGGGGAAGAUAAUGGCGAAUUCACUUGUACAUGUAGCUAGUAGCUUCAGUCUCCCACAGCUCUGCUUACUGGGUCCUGCGCAGGUCUAAAGAGGUUGCAUGGAGUAAAGCUUCUCACAUGAACAAAUAUGGUACAAGAGGACGAGCUACACAAUAUAAUCAUCCAAUGAUCGGUAGGGUAUCUUAAUGACUCACCACAAAUGUAUCGUUUAUGCUUUCUAUCCUUGAUAAAGAAAAAAAAAUUGAUCAGACUGCAAAGCUAGAUUGUGGGGCAGACCAAUGUGAUUAAAUUAUUUAUGAUAUUGAUUUUUCUUUUUCUAAUAUUUAAGAAUGUUUAGGAUGCUUAUUUUUUGAGUGGAGCUCAACUUCAUCCAGAUAACUCUUUUGUUGGUGCAAAUGAAGUGAUAGAUAUUAAAAAAUUAUCCGACCAUUUUUAUUCAUAUUAAAGCAAUCAUUGAGUGAAUGGCAGAUUCAUCCAUAUCCUCUUACCAUGCCUACUAAUUUGCCUGACACCAGCUGCUCAUUGGAAUGCAUGAUGGUUUGUUGCAAUCUUUCUUUGACAUUUGGUUUGCUGUGAAUACUUUUUUAAAUUUAAAAAUGGUUUUCUAGAGUAUGAGGCUCCUAUUGCUGUAGAGCUAGGGUUAGAUUUAUGCGAGAGCUUUUAUGGGCUUAUAUAUAAAAUAGUCUCUACAAACUUAUGUAUAGGAUAGUUUUUAUAUGUAAGUUUAUGGAGGCUAUCCGAUAUAAAUUUAUGUGUAACCCUAUAGGUAAAGUUAUUUUUAUAUAAAUUUUUUGUGUUACAUCUUUUCUUCCUAUGUUUGUUGGAUUCUUUUGUUUCACCUCAACAUUUUUUAAAAUUUUUGUUGCAAGAAGAUUGGAUUCAUUGAGACAAAAUAAUGGGCAGCACCCAUGGCAUUGUCGGGUAAGUAAUUAGUGUGGUAGGAAGCCCCUCACCUCUUCCACCCUUAUUAAUGUAUACCUGUCAUCGGAUGUUCUCUUCCGGUCUACCAUCUUCCUCCCCUCUCUUCUUCUCUCUUUCUCCAACAAAAUCCAAACAAAGGGUUGGGAUUAGGGAUUCAAAACCAUGGCCUACAUCCCUCCCCAUAAUCGCCACUCCAAGGACACCGAGAAGCCCAUGCUGGUCCCAACUCCCUCAUCAGUAGCUUUAAGAAGAGCCUCAACCUUGGCUCUAGAUCAAUCCUGGCGGCCAGGGCCGGCGGGAGUGGGCCAACUCCUCUGACCAUGGCGGCGGCAACAAGAUCUUCUAUGCUGCCCAUUUCAUGUCGUGAUGGUGGCCUGCCAUCAGCGGCUAGCCGAUCCCUGCCACCUUUCGCCUGGAGCCUUUCUCGUGUGAGAUUGUUGAGAGGAGCGUCAGAAACCUCGGGUCCAAUCCGACGGCAAGGAUCCGCAUGCUCAGGCUAUGGGGAGGUGCACCCGUGCUAGUCGAUAAUUGAGACGAUCAGGCGGGACCUCCUCACUUGUGUGUAGAGUGCGAGGAACGAAAUGCCUUUCGGGAGAGAAGACUAAAUUAUCUUUUUGUGCUCGGUUAUGGAAAGUCUUCUUUUGUGGGUACAAGAAUGUCCUUUUUUUAUUCCCCAUCCUUAUUUUUACGCAGGUAAGUGCUAUCUCUAUAAAAUUAAAAAAUUAACUUUUUGAAUUGUACGCUUACAUUGUUCUAUAUUUGCUAGUUUUUGGUGCACUUUUUUUUUGAAAUCUUGAUCUUUCUUUGCAUUCUCGUGCUUAAUAGAGCUGAUUGGAAGCAAGUGAAAGUAACAAUUAAACAAAUGUUUCAAUAUUUAAAAUAAAAAGUUGUUGGUAGAUUUAUUUUGUGCUGAAUAGUUAGCUUGGUCCAUCCAUUGAAAUAGAUCGUUCAACUUGCCCCUCUUGCAUUGCAACCUUCGAGCAUAUUGAAAUCUUGAAAAUUUGAAAUAUAAGUAGUUCUUUCUAAUAAGUGGUGAUUAACAUGAUGAUCAUGAUUGAAACUGUUAGAAUUUAUAAACCAAAUUAAUAUUAUCUUGUUAUUAGUAAUGACCUUUAGUAUUUUCUAUGAAAUUUACUUAAAUUUUCUCACAUAUAUUAAACCGUGUCACUUAUAUAAAAGUCAAAAAUAUAGCUCGUAGUAUUUUGUGUAGAAGAUAGUUGAAGAGUUGUAAAAUCUUUUAUAUAAAAGGAUGUACUUGAGCCAUUUUGGAUCAAGAGAGUUAAACAAAUUUCAAACAAAUUUAAAAAUUUUCUUCUAUAAAUAGGUCUACUCUCUUCAUCUCUUAUGUGAGAAAUACUAUAAAUACUCAUUUGCACCUCUAUCUACCAUAACAAAGUGGUAUCAGAGCCCUUUUGGACAAAGAUGGCAAGUGGGUUGCAACUUCAAGUACUUUGCCUCACCAAUGAGAACUACGAGAAUUGGAGCACCUAGAUGAAGGCACUGUUCGGCUUUCAUGAUAUUUGGGAAGUAGUAGAGAGAGGCUAUAAGAAGUCUCAAGAUGAAACAAAUGCUGCAACAAACCAAACUUUCAAGAAGUUGAGGAGGAAGGACAAAGAGGUGCUCUUCUUCAUUAUCAAGUAUGAGAUGAAUCAAAUUUUGAGAAGGUUGCAAGAGCCACUACCUCCAAACAAGCAUGGGAGAUCCUUGAGAAUACUGAUAAAGACAUAGAAGAGGUGAAGAAGGUUCGGCUCCAAACACUCCAAGCUGAAUUUGAAGCAUUGCAGAUGAAAGAGUCCGAAACCAUUUCGGACUAUUUCAAUUGAGUAUUUUCCUUGGUGAACCAAGGAGGAAUGGCCAGAAAUUGGAGAAUAUCCAUGUAGUCGAAAAAAUUCUAUGUUUGGUGAAUGACAAGUUCAAGCACAUUGUUGUAGCCAUUGAAGCAUCAAAAGACCUGAAAUCUAUGUUUAUGGAUGAGCUUAUAGGCUCAUUGUUAGCAUAUGAGCAAAUAAUUGUUAGCAUAUGAGCAAAGAAAAAAAUAAGAUGAAGCAAGAUAGAAUUGAGCAAGUCCUCCAGUCAAAGUUGUCUUUGUAGGAUAGAAAAGAAGCUUUUAAAAGCAAUAAGAGUCCAAGUGACUGAGGUCAAGGCCAAGGUCAUGGACGUAGCCGUGGCUGUGGCUGUGGCCGUGGUCGUGGGCAAUGAAAAAGAUAUGAAGAAAGAAAAAGCCCAAAUGGUGGAUAAGGGAGAGGAGAAACAGCAGCUCAAAGGUAUAGCAAAUUUAAAGUUUGUUGUUAUAUUUGUAAAAAAAUGACCAUUAUGCUUUUAAAUGUUAUUAUAAUAAAGAUAAUUAAAAUAAAGACAAAGCCAACUUUAUUUAGAAAAUGAAGAACAAGAUUCUCUCUUGUUGAUAGCUUACAAAAAAGAUGAAGCCAGCAAGUAUGACAGUUGGUACUUGGACAUGGGAGCAAAUAACCUAAUGUGCAACCAUAGAAGCAUGUUUGUGGAGAUAGAUGAAUCGAUUGAAACUCAAGUCUGUUUUGGCAAUUCUUCAAAAAAUUUUAGUGAAAGACAAAGGUAAAAUCCUUAUUCAUCUCAAAGAUAGAUGCCGCCAAUUUAUUUUUAAUGUCUAUUAUGUACCAAAAAUGAAAACAAAUAUAUUAAGUUUUUAUUAGAGAAAGGUUAUGAUGUUCAUAUGAACGACUAGAAGUGUUGCAUUAAAAAUGGCUCACAUAAUGUGAUUUCCAAGUAGAAAUGUCGAAAAAUAGAAUUUUCAUUCUAAGUAUUAAAAUUGAUGUGGCAAAAUGCUUGAAAAGUUGUAUCAAAAAUUUCUCAUGGCAUCACACUUGACAUUUGGACAUCUCAACUUUGAUGAUCUUAAUCUUUUGUCAAGCAAAAAGAUGGUGCACGACUUGACGCAUAGACCAUCCCAAGCAACUUUGUGAAGGGUGUGUUAGGCAAACAAUCCAGAAGUUUUUCCCAAGAGGCAUGAUUUAGAGCAAGAUGGCCACUCCAACUUAUACAGAUGUUUGUGGACCCAAAAUCCCAACAUCUUUUGGUAAACACCAAUACUUUUUCAUUUUUAUUGAUGAUUGUACAAGAAAGACUUGAGUAUAUUUUUUGAAGGAAAAAUUGUAAGUUGUCAGUAUAUUCAAAAAGUUCAAGGCAAUAGUGGAGAAUGAAAGUGGCUAUUCAAUCAAAGCUACCUGAUCAGAUCAGAGUUGCAAGUUCAUCUUGAAGGUAUUUAAAGAAUUUUGUGAAGAACAUAGUGUUUGGCAUCAACUAACAGUACCUUAUUCCCUCCAACAAAAUAGUGUGGUUGAGAGAAAGAAUGUACUAUUCUCAACAUGGUGCGAAUUAUGCUCAAAAGUAAGAAUUUACUGAAAGAGUUUUGGGCCGAGGCAGUGGUUUGUGCUGUCUACAUUCUGAAUAGGUGCUCUACAUCAAGUUUGGAGAAGAAGAUGCUAUAAGAAGCAUGGUCCAAAAGGAAGCCGAAUAUCUCUUACUUGAAUACUUUCGGGUGCAUCGCUCAUGCGCAUGUUUCCAAGCAAAGGAGGUCCAAAUUGGAUGACAAAAGCUCUAAAUUUAUCUUUAUUAGGUAUAAUUCUAAAUCUAAGGCCUAUAAAUUAUUUGACCCUUACAAUUCUAAAAUUAUUGUAAGUAGAGAUGUGGAGUUUGAUGAAGGAGCAUGGGAUUGGCACAACAAGAUUGAAGAAAUGCAAGAAGAACAUAUGAACAUGGAGCUUCUAGAGCUGUCGCUACAAUCUUCACCAAUACCUUCUGUUUCAUCAUCAUCAGAAGAAGAUAGUUCAAGGCCGAACCAAAAGAUAAGAAGCUUAAGAGAACUCUACGAGCUUACCAAUCAACUCCAUCUUAUUUAUCUCUUUACAUAUUAUGAGCCUUUAAAGUUUGAAGAUGCCAUAAAAGACAAAAGAUAAAAAGAUGCUAUGGACAAAGAAAUCAAAGCAAUAGAGAAGAACCACACAUGAGAGUUGAAUUCUCUUUUCAAAGGACAAAAGACUGUUGGAGUUAAGUGGGUGUGCAAGGCAAAGAAGAAUGCAUAGGGCCAAAUUAGAAAGUACAAAGCAAGAUUGGCGGCAAAAGGAUACAAGCAAAAGGUCGGCAUCGAUUAUUAUGAGGUAUUCACCCCAUUAUUCAAACAGAAAUAAUUUGUUUAAUUAUUUUACUUGCUGCACAAAAUGGUUGGUCUAUUUUUCAAAUGGAUGUUAAAUCUACUUUUUUAAAUGGCUAUGUUGAUGAAGAGGUAUAUGUAGAAUAAUCCUAGGGGUAUGUUAAAAAAGGACAAGAAUAGACCUUGUAUGGCCUUAAAAAAGCACCUAAGGAAUGGAUGCUAGGAUGUUCUGCUCCUUAUGACAGCUUCUUUGCUUCGAGGAAGAGAAGUGCCUCUAAGAACAACGAGAUAGAAGAAAAAAAUAUGCUAUUGUUGGUAUUUAAUAUAGAAAAAUAAGAAAUUAUAACUUCAAAUUACUUUUCUAAUGACUAAUCAUCCCUGUUUAUAUUAGCAAGAUUUUUUGAACCUAUUCAUGAAUGUAUCUACAUUCAUUUCUUGUUAAAAGUAUAAAAGAUUUUUACAAACAAAGGAAAGAGAUCAUCCUUAUAAUCUACUAGAAUUUGAUUAUAUGAGCUAUCCUUUCGAAUCUAUCUAGAUUUGAUGAUAUCGGUCAUAUCUGAUCAUAUCUUCAAGAUUUUAUAAUAUGUCAAGAUUUAAUUAUAUCAGUCAUUCUUUCAAGUCUAUUUAGAUUUCAUGAUAUCAGCCAUAUUUGAUCAUAGCUUCAAGAUUUAUUUUACUAGCUUAUAGUAGCCUUCUAAAUUGGUUUAAAUCCAAGCUUGAUGUCAAAUCCCUCUACUCCCUUGGUUAGCCUUUGACAUAUACCUAUGCUAUAGUACCGUCGAGUACUAUAUAAGUUGUAAUAGUCCCUUCUUUAGUUUUAUCUUGUCCCCAAGGUGCAAUGUGAGGGAAUCGAAAAUGCCAACUGACACAACUAAUAAUGCCCAUUCGCCCAGCUCCUGAAGUUAUUUUGACAUUUCAUGUUAGGUCGUUUAUGGUGAUGGCUCUACAUGUUAUUUCGAUAUUUCAUGUUAUUUCGAUCUCUCUUGAUGCUGUCGUCUCCCUUUUCGUCCUCCAUCAUUAUCGAGACUUGAUCCGAUCACAUCUGAAAUACCGUGGUAGGAGGCAGGUGUAAAGUUUCUUGCCAAUCUUAUCAGGAGGUCUGUGGUGUUGUAACUCUUUAAGUGAAAUCCUAUUAAGAGGUUUGUGGUGGUCAAGAAUGUUGGUAGUAUGCGUCGGAGGUAAAUCUUGGACAAAAUUAGUCCCUUCCUAUUCAAAAUCUAUAUCUGAUUAGCCACCCCCAUAGAAAAAACUAAUAGAGGCCAAAGGUGUAGUAUAAGGGGCAGUAUAAGUCCCAAAUAUCAUGGAUAGUGCAGAAACAGUUGCAAAGCUGAUGCAGUGCUAAUUGGUGCUGAUCUAGAUAUCGAUUGAUGCCAAAAAUAUAAUUUGGGCCUCCUUGAAGGCGGUCGAUUAUAGACUAAUGAGCUACUUGCUGUCUGAUAGCAUGACGAUGUAAGUGAAUCUCCAACAACCUCAAUGGUCAAGUUAGGAUGACUGAUUAUUUGGGGUACCAUCAUAGUGGUUUCCCUUCCCAUAUGAGAAUCGAGCGCUUGUGAGAAGUUCACCUCUCCUUUGGUAAACACUGGAGGGGAUAUGAUAUUUUCAAGUCAUUGAAUCUUACUUGUUUCAUUUUGGAUUGGGGCGAUAGGACUAAGGGAAUCCAGCACAAUUGUCUUGUAUGGGAGCAUCAAAGUGUGUUGAUAAAUGCUCUCCUCUUCGCCGGCUGGAAAUUUUCUCUUGUGAAGAGUCUCUUUAGUACGAUGCAUGGACAUCCAUCAGGGUUUAUAUCACUUUUGCUAGGUUGGUUUGGCUCACCAUAAAAAUUCAAAAUAUCAUCUCGAGCGAUGGUUGCUCUGAGGGUUGAUCAUUAUGAUAAGUUACCUCCAUCAUGUCCUUGAUUGCCAUAAAGGAUUCGGUUGAUGUAUUCGUCGGUGAAGAUCGUCGGAGUUAGUAUACCAGUAAUGGAAUCAAUUUGUUAGGAUAUUUUGCUUCUAAUGAUGGCUUCUCCACUUCGAGGAAGAAAAGUACCUCCAAGAACCAUGAGAUAGAAGAAAAACUUAUGCUAUUCCUGGUAUUUAAUGCAAACAAUAAAAAAUUACAACUUUAGAUUGCUCUUCUAAUGAUCAGGCACCCUUAUUUAUGUUAGCAAGAUCCUUUGAACCUAUCCAUUAAUGCAUCUACAUUCAUUUCUUGCUAAAAGGGUAAGAUUUUUACAAAUAAGAAGAAAGAAUCAUCUUUGCAAUCUGCUAGGAUUUGAUUAUAUCAGCCAUCUUUCUGAAUCUAUUUAGAUUUGAUAAUAUCAGCCAUAUUUGAUCAUAUCUUCAAGAUUUUAUAAUUUAUCAAGAUUUGAUUAUAUCAAUCAUUCUUAUAAAUCUUUCUAGAUUUGAUGAUAUCAGCCAUAUUUGAUCAUAUCUCCAAGAUUUCUUUUACCAACUUAUACUAGCCUUCUAAAUUGAUUUAAAUUCAAGUCUGAUGUCAAAUCCCUUUGCUCUCUUGGUCAGCCUUGGAUAUAUGCAUAUGCUACAGUACCAUCGGCUACUAUAUAAAUUGUAACAAUAGAAUGCAAGAAUUGAUGCUUUCUUUAAGCAAAAUGGUUAUAUCCAAAAUCCAUAUGAAAGUGCUCUCUACAUGAAGUUAAAUAAGCAUCAUGAUAUCUUGCUUGCUUGUAUGUAGAUGAUUUUAUCUUUGUAGGAAAUAAUCCAUACAUGUUUGAAGAAUUGAAAAAAAAAUAUGGUUCGUGAAUUUGGGAUGAUGGAUAUCAGGCUUAUGUCAUUCUUUCUCGGCAUUGAAGUGAAGCAAAGUGAAGAGAGUAUCUUCAUCUCACAAAAAGCAUAUGCAAAAGUGCUUAAAAGAUUCAAAAUGGAAGAUUGUACACCAGUUGGUACACUGGUGGGAUGUGGCAUAAGCUCUCGAAGCAAGAUGAUGGCAGGAUAAUUGAUCUUACUUCAAAAGUUUAGUUGGAAGCUAAGAAAUUUGACAUAUACAAGGCCAGAUAUUUUAUAUAGUGUUGGGCUAGUGAAUCGAUAUAUGGAGGAGCCCAUGUCAAUGUAUUUCAAAGCCACCAAAAGAAUUCUUCGCUGCAUCAAAGGUACACUAAGUCAUGGCGUGUUAUAUUCUUUCCCUAAUGAAUUUCAACUUGUUGGUUAUUCAGAUAGUGAUUAGGGUGGAGUUCUUGAUGACCAAAAGAGCACAACAGGCUUUGGGUUCUAUAUGGGAGAUACGCCUUUCACUUGGCUUUCGGAGAAGCAACCUAUAGUUGCUUUUUCUACAUGUGAAGCAAACUAUGUAGCUGCAUCUUUAUGCGUGUGCCAUGCGGUGUGGCUAAAAAAGUUGUUGAAAGAAAUUCGAUAUUUUUAAAUUGAAGCUACAAAGAUCUAUGUAGACAACAAGUCUGCAAUAGCAUUGCAAAGAACCCUAUCCAUUAUGCAUGAAGCAAGCACAUCGAUGUUUUUUUCCAUUUUAUUAGAGAUUAAAUGAAAGAAAAGAAGGUUCAAUUAGAGUACAUCAAGUCUGAAGAUCAAGUUGCUGACGUUUUCACCAAGCCCUUUAAUUCAGAAUUAUUUCACAAAAUGCAGACAUUGCUUGGAAUGGUUAAUGGCCAAAAAUUUGGUUUAAGAGGGGGUGUUGGAAUUUAUAAAUCAAAUUAAUAUUAUCUUAUUAUUAGCAAUGACCUUUAGUAUUUCCUAUGAAAUUCACUUAAAAUUUCUCUACAUGUAUAAAACCAAAAUAUCACUUAUAUAAAAAUAAAAAAUAUAGCUCUUAGUAUUUUGUGUAGAAGGCGGUUGAAGAGUUAUAAAAUUCUCUAUAUAAAGGAAUGUGCUUAAGCCAUUUUGGAUCACGAGGGUAGAAGAAAUUUCAAACAAAGUUAAAAGUUCUCUUCUACUAAUAGGUUUACUCUUUUCAUCUCUUGUGUGAGAAAUAUUAUAAAUACUCCUCUGCUCCUCUAUCUACCAUAACACACUAUGAAAAUGAGAAUUCUGGAGAAUAAAUUGAUCAAAAAAGUGAUAGAUACUUCCUUUUUAUAGUAAACUAAUUUCUGUGUUUUUAAUAUAUUCUGCUGAUGAAAUAUUAUUCAUGCAUAUGAAUCCCAGAAAUGCCAGCUCUUGUUGUGCUGUAAGUAUGAUUCAUGCACUGAGAAUAACAAGAUGUGGGUUCAAAAGAAGUCAUUGAGAACAAGAAGACUUGCCUUCACCAACAUUUUAAGAGUAGGUCGCUGAUUUAGUGCAGUGAUGGUGAUGGAUUGGGAAGGCAGUAAUUGCUAGCUAUGCAGUGGGUCCACCGAAAGAUUCUUCAGUGGAGGGAAAAACUGAGCCUUCAUUAAUAUUGGAAUAAUAAACUUAAUAGACUAGUCCAUAUGGAAGUUUGCUGAAACAAAUUAGGGAGUAGGUAGAUGCUUGAUCGCCAGAGUAGACUUAUGGUAAACUCAGUGCCUCAUCACAUAUGCAAAUAAUUUUCUAGGUUGGAUAUGGCUGGAUUGGCAAAUUUUGAGAUGCAUGAACUACUGAUGUACUGGUGGAUCUCGAAUAACUUUGCUGGUUGACCGUUGAAAUGAGGAAGAUAAUGGUGAAUUCACUUGUACAUAUAGCUAGUAGAUUCAGUCUCCCACAAUUAUGCAUACUGGGUCCUGCACAGGUCUAAAGAGGUUGCAUGAAGUAAAGCUUGUUAUAUGAACAAUAUGGUGCAAGAGGAUGAGCUACACACAAUAGAAUCAUCCAAUGAUAGGGUAAAAUCUUAAUGACUCACCACAAAUGUAUUGUUUAUGCUUUCUAUACUUGGUAAAAAAAAAAAUGAUUAGGCUGCAAAGGUAGAUUGUAGGGU